GUCCUGGUGGUCUAGGGGUAUGAUUCAUCCUUAGGGUUAAUUCUCGGUUGGAUGAGGUCCCGCGUUCAAAUCGCGGCCAGGACC